UACGUAGGGUGCGAGCGUUGUCCGGAAUUACUGGGCGUAAAGAGCUUGUAGGUGGUUUGUCGCGUUGUUCGUGAAAUCUCACGGCUCAACUGUGAGCGUGCGGGCGAUACGGGCAGACUAGAGUACUGCAGGGGAGACUGGAAUUCCUGGUGUAGCGGUGAAAUGCGCAGAUAUCAGGAGGAACACCGGUGGCGAAGGCGGGUCUCUGGGCCGAUACUGACGCUGAGGAGCGAAAGCUAGGGGAGCGAACGGG
rnacentral:rRNA from 1 species